AAGACUCCUCCGCUCGUUAGGUAGAGGCAGCCCAAAGGGGGUCAACAAGCCGCUUGUGGUUUUUCAAUACACUUCCGGGAGUGGUUCAGAAAGCCCUCACGGAAUCUCCCAUGUGCGGGGCUGCGAGGGGCAGCUGCCCGCGCAAGCUAACGUGGAAAUGCCAAAGAGAUGUUUGAGGUGACUGGCUGGCAGAGCAAUCUUUUCUAAAUCAAGAUGAAUAGCUGUGUAAUGUUUUGCGGUCUUAAGGACUACUGCCACCAGGAAAGAAAGCAAAUGGUCUCCUAAUUCAGUAAUUGCAAUCACGGUCGUUGUAGGAGGCCUCAAGAAACCAACCAGAACCUUUUCUUUUUCUUUCUGUGGUUUGAAAAAUAAAAUAAAAAGGCGAGGCUCACAAAGCGAAAAAGAUACAGUAAUCCUCACUUUGUCAUCUGAAUGGCGAAGGAAGCAAAUCUUAAUUUAGCUGCCUCGUGUGUUCUCUCCUGUGGAACCUGCAUUUCUCCUUGAUGCAGCUGAGGCUUUGCCUGAAAGGGAUUAAGGAAAUCAGCCCUCGCUUUGCUCCCGGUAUUUUACAUAAUGGCGUGAAGUUUAACCAGUAAAAGUAUCAAGAGGCGGUAAUGAGGCUCUAGCAAAAGUAAUAAUUUCCACGAUUUGUGUGUGGUGUCGUAAAUUAACUUCAGAUUAAAGGAGAGAAAAGGAGAGGUUGAGUUCAGAGUGGCGUCUUGCAUGCUUAAGAGAGAUUUUGCAGAAAGCUAGAAAACUCAUGCUGGCUAGGGAGAUGUAAUGUGCGAUGGAGCAACUUAAUGGAGCCCCGAGGUUUAUUACCUGAGCUAGAUCAGUAAUGAAAGGACGUGGACCAACCUAUCCUAUUAAGGAGCAGCAAACCAUGAGAGUACAUAACGUUUGUAUCUCAAGUACUUUGUGGGGUUUUCCCCCCAGCAGCUGGAGAAAAUUCUAAUACUAGCAAGCUCCCCUUCUUUAAUAAGCCUUUGGAGAAUGUAAAUUUAGGGACAGAUGCAGAAAGGGGAAGUAGAGCCGCUAUAUGUCCUGUUCUACAGAAGAUACCGGUAGUUCUCAAUUUGACAACAUUGCCUAUUGAGACGGAAGUCCAGUCUAAGUCUGCAUUAAAGAAAAAGAACUCACAAAGGGAGAGCUGGAGAGGCCUUGAUGUUGCCCAUCAGCUCUCAGCACCUGAUAGCUGACUGAGCAGCAUAUAGUCCCCACUAUGGUG